rnacentral:misc_RNA from 1 species
AUAUAUAUAUCAAACCCUCUCUUGUCGAGUGGUUUGGAUGUGGGGGUUUGCUGGCCUCUUGAAGGGUUCAGCUCCUCUGAAAUGCAUUAGCAGAACAACAACCUGUUCAUUGGUGUGAUAACUAUCUACGCUAUUGAAUGUGAGGGUAAAAGUUCAGCUUUCUAACCGUCCAUGGACAAUUUAUCAUUA